rfam:Nelumbo nucifera unplaced genomic scaffold scaffold00030, whole genome shotgun sequence
AUCACACAAGGGUGACAUCUAAUAAGAUUGGAACAAUACAGAGAAGAUUAGCAUGGCCCCUGCACAAUGAUGACAAACAUGUGAUGAAGAUUUCUCAACUGGAA